UACGGAGGGUGCAAGCGUUGUUCGGAAUUACUGGGCGUAAAGGGCGCGUAGGCGGCCUUCUAAGUCAGACGUGAAAUCCCCCGGCUUAACCUGGGAACUGCGUCUGAUACUGGAAGGCUUGAGUUUGGGAGAGGGAUGCAGAAUUCCAGGUGUAGCGGUGAAAUGCGUAGAUAUCUGGAGGAAUACCGGUGGCGAAGGCGGCAUCCUGGACCAACACUGACGCUGAGGCGCGAAGGCGUGGGGAGCGAACGGG
rnacentral:rRNA from 1 species